rnacentral:lncRNA from 1 species
UGGCGAUGGGAGGCUGGAGUGUGAAAGGUGGGUAGGCUUAGACACAGGGUGCCUGAACUCAGGUUUAGGAGGUUCAUCGUGGCAGUCAUCACGAAUGAAUCUCUAGUGACUUUUGAUUAAAAUUGUGACACGAUUGUGCCUAAGCUACAAGCAAGGGCAAUAAACUGGGGGCCCACUGGGGCAGAUGUCUUAAUGGAGAGAGCAGAGAUGAAGAGAAAAUCCCUCAGCAGGUUGAGAGUGACUUCUGCAGGCUCAGGGCACAAAGCGAGAACUCUUUGCACAGAAUUUCGAUCAUCCUUGCUACUUAAGACCCCCAAAAUGGUGGAACCCAGGGGUACAGAGAGCUAAGGAAGGAAAACUCCAUACUUGAGAUGCCUUCUUGAGCCAGCAGGUGGCAGUAGUGGUGGUGGAGGCAACAGUUAGAUGAACUGACUGGUCCUGACCACACAGUGUCAAAAUAGAGAAUGGAGAGCAGGUCUGCUGUUUACCAAAGAAGCCUGAAACAUGGCCCACGUGUCCAAUCCUUGCUUGGAGGAGGAGCCGGGAGGAGACCCUUGAUGAACUGCUCUCAGAUUGUUGGUCUAUGAAGGAGGUUAAUACAUGUCAGUUUGACAUUGUAUCAUUGAAUCAGAAUUGAACAUCAGAAAGAGUAAAAUUCCCAGGCCUUUGUUACCCUAGCCUGGGUACAAGCUCAAGAUGAUGCAAAAGGAGGAGCAAAGCAUGGGAUCCAAGAAAGUUAAGUUCCAGCUCAGGUCGAAGAGAAUCAUGUCUGUGAUCUGUGUCUUUGGUUUCUUCAUCUACAGCUGUCAUCUUGUGGGCUGGAGCAUGGUGGCCAGGAAGUGUGCAAGGGGCUCUGUUGUCCAUGCAGCCCUCAUAGACCUGCGGAGUUUUGCAGGUAUUGAGUGACUAGCAAGGUUUCCA